CUUAAAGGUUGUGAUGUGUUUAACUUGCUUCAGAAAUGCAAGAGGAACAAGAGGCCAGAGUACUACUAAAACAGUUGUACAAGUAGAGACUCCAGCAGUUGGUGAAAUUCAAAGUAUAAGCAAAAAUUAAUAGUAUUUCAGAAGCUCUGAAGAACUAUUACCUCAUUCACUGUCAAUGCCUUGGAGAUUAAAAGCAUGAGGGCUAAUAUUUUCUGGCUGAAAUAAAAUGGACUAAUAUACUAUAAAAAUGGACACAAAUCUGACAUUACUGCAGGAAUAACACUUGCUUUAAAACUGCUUCUGCAUAGAUGAGGAGCUAAAGAAGAGGAAGUGUCCCAAACACAGAAAGAAGUUGUAGCACAGUACCAUGUCCUGUCUUUCCCCUUUGUCUCACUGCUACAGGGCACAAUAUUAAGGAAUGUGCAAGUACUUGAUUAUACCCUGUAGUAAUAAAGACUGAAGUUUAACUUGUCAACUGUACCUGACAUGAAACACCAGUGAAAUGCAAUUUUUAACCUUUACAUGAUCCUAUUGAGAUGUUCCUCAAAUGAACCUUGGAAACAGCAAGGUUUAGCCAAAUUCAGGAGGAGUUCAGAACCCUCACUGUGUACUCACACUCACACUGGCUCCAGGACCAGAGUCUUUGAACAGAGGCCACAUACAAGCAAGGAGUACAAGAUCAUCCUCUAGUUUUACACAACAAAGGAAGGUGAAAACUAGGAGGAGAAAUCUGUAGUUAAACGGAAAUCAGAAUAAUCCCUCACCUACGGAGUCCUGAAGCAGAUGGGGCACAUCUUCAUCUGUGCGCUGUGAGCUGAAAGCCUGAGUCUGCAGUCAGCAAUUACACAUUUCUACAGAGCUUUGCUGCCAGACAACAUGCCACAGUGGAGUGACUGCAAUUAGAAGUGGCAAAGGGAAUUCUAGACUAGACAAGAUGGCUGGUACCUAACAGUGCAACACUGAAUUUUGAAAAUUGUAACAUCUGUCUGACUGACAAGAAUCUGGAGCUGCCUGAAACACUGGAGCUGCAGCUUCUGAAGUAACUGUGUCUUUUGGCAAGGCCUGUAGAGUAUGAAGGAGAUGGACCACAGCACUGGAAACAGAGAGCCUAAUUAUAACAUAAGCAAAAGAAAAUAAAGUUAACUCCAAAAACCCCAAAAGCAAUAAACUGGUAAGUCUUGGUGCGGUAAUGAAAAGUAGAAAUAGAGAUGUUGCCACUGUAUAUAAGACACCUGUAUUGUCUUUUCAUGCAGUAACCUAUUACUAACAGUUCAAGAGACUGAAUUUAAUGGACUUUUUUGCAAGGUAGGAGGUAAAACAAUUUGAUUAUUUCUCACCCAAAAGCGUAUCCAAUCCCUAUAAUGCAUGGUUAGCUUUACCACAAACUUUGUAUGACGUAAUUAUUCAUUCUAAGUGAUUUAACUACUUUAUCUAUCUUACUGAGAUCUUAACUCUCUUAUGACUUACUGACAACAUUUAUUCAUUAGUUGCUCCAUGCUAUAAAACUCCAAGAAUUCUGUAAGUCAAGACAGGUAAAGAAAAGUGGUAAGUUUUUAUGAAACUCAAAGUUUCAGUAGCAUUCAAACAUCCAAGUGGUCUGUUAUUUAAGAAGGUAGAAGUUAGAAAAAUGGAAAAGAACUGAGGGAAUGUAUCAAACAUUGGAAAAAGGAAGAAAAAACAAUAUGAAAAUCUCACAGUCCACAGACUGUUUUUCUAAAAACAACUGGCUCUAGAUGCAUUUUAGUAACAUCC